GAUGAACGCUGGCUACAGGCUUAACACAUGCAAGUCGAGGGGAAACGACGGGGAAGCUUGCUUCCCCGGGCGUCGACCGGCGCACGGGUGAGUAACGCGUAUCCAACCUGCCUCUGACUGAGGGAUAACCCGUCGAAAGUCGGCCUAAUACCUCAUGGCAUCGUCUGCGGGCAUCCAACGACGAUUAAAGAUUUCAUCGGUCAGGGAUGGGGAUGCGUCUGAUUAGCUUGUUGGCGGGGUAACGGCCCACCAAGGCGACGAUCAGUAGGGGUUCUGAGAGGAAGGUCCCCCACAUUGGAACUGAGACACGGUCCAAACUCCUACGGGAGGCAGCAGUGAGGAAUAUUGGUCAAUGGGCGGAAGCCUGAACCAGCCAAGUAGCGUGCAGGAAGACGGCCCUAUGGGUUGUAAACUGCUUUUAUGCGGGGAUAAAGUGAGGGACGUGUCCUUCAUUGCAGGUACCGCAUGAAUAAGGACCGGCUAAUUCCGUGCCAGCAGCCGCGGUAAUACGGAAGGUCCGGGCGUUAUCCGGAUUUAUUGGGUUUAAAGGGAGCGUAGGCCGUGGAUUAAGCGUGUUGUGAAAUGCAGGUGCUCAACGUCUGCACUGCAGCGCGAACUGGUCCACUUGAGUGUGCGCAACGCAGGCGGAAUUCGUCGUGUAGCGGUGAAAUGCUUAGAUAUGACGAAGAACCCCGAUUGCGAAGGCAGCUUGCGGGAGCACAACUGACGCUGAAGCUCGAAAGUGCGGGUAUCGAACAGG
rnacentral:rRNA from 1 species